AUCGCAACGAUUGCGACCCCAGGCCAGGC
rnacentral:rRNA from 1 species